AUUGAACGCUGGCGGCAUGCUUUACACAUGCAAGUCGAACGGUAACAGGCCUUCGGGUGCUGACGAGUGGCGAACGGGUGAGUAAUACAUCGGAACGUGCCCAAUCGUGGGGGAUAACGCAGCGAAAGUUGCGCUAAUACCGCAUACGCCCUGAGGGGGAAAGCGGGGGACCGCAAGGCCUCGCGCGAAUGGAGCGGCCGAUGUCAGAUUAGCUAGUUGGUGGGGUAAAGGCUCACCAAGGCGACGAUCUGUAGCGGGUCUGAGAGGAUGAUCCGCCACACUGGGACUGAGACACGGCCCAGACUCCUACGGGAGGCAGCAGUGGGGAAUUUUGGACAAUGGGCGCAAGCCUGAUCCAGCCAUGCCGCGUGCGGGACGAAGGCCUCGGUUGUAACCG
rnacentral:rRNA from 1 species